rnacentral:rRNA from 1 species
UACAGAGGUCCCAAGCGUUGUUCGGAUUCAUUGGGCGUAAGGGGUGCGUAGGUGGCGUCGUAAGUCGGGUGUGAAAUCUCGGGGCUUAACUCCGAAACUGCAUUCGAUACUGCGGUGCUUGAGGACUGGAGAGGAGACUGGAAUUUACGGUGUAGCAGUGAAAUGCGUAGAGAUCGUAAGGAAGACCAGUGGCGAAGGCGGGUCUCUGGACAGUUCCUGACACUGAGGCACGAAGGCCAGGGGAGCAAACGGG